rnacentral:tRNA from 1 species
GGGUAAGUGUGCCAAGCGGCGAAGGCAGCGCGCUGUAAACGCGUUACACCAGAAACAUCGUUGGUUCGAGUCCAACCUUGCCCACCA